rnacentral:rRNA from 1 species
AUGAGUCUCCUAUGCUGGAACUGUCGUGGGAUUGGCAAGCCCGCGACAGUGAAGGAGCUUCGUGAUCUAACGAAGCAGUUUGCCCCCUCUGUACUAUGCAUCCUUGAAACCCAAAUAGAGGAUUCUAGAGUUGAAAAAUUAGUUGGUUCGUUAGGUUUUAAUAAGAGUUUUGUUGUUAGCAGUCUGGGCAGAAGUGGUGGCCUCGGAAUAUUCUGGAAUGAAUAA